rnacentral:rRNA from 1 species
ACGUAGGUGGCAAGCGUUGUCCGGAAUUAUUGGGCGUAAAGCGCGCGCAGGCGGUCCUUUAAGUCUGAUGUGAAAGCCCACGGCUCAACCGUGGAGGGUCAUUGGAAACUGGGGGACUUGAGUGCAGAAGAGGAGAGUGGAAUUCCACGUGUAGCGGUGAAAUGCGUAGAUAUCGGAAGGAACAUCAGUGGCGAAAGCGGCUUCCUGGACCAGUACCGACGUUCAGGCACGAAAGCGUGGGGAGCAAACAGGA